rnacentral:rRNA from 1 species
GAUGAACGCUGGCGGCGUGCUUAACACAUGCAAGUCGAACGAUGAAGCCCAGCUUGCUGGGUGGAUUAGUGGCGAACGGGUGAGUAACACGUGAGUAACCUGCCCUUAACUCUGGGAUAAGCCUGGGAAACUGGGUCUAAUACCGGAUAGGAGCGUCCACCGCAUGGUGGGUGUUGGAAAGAUUUAUCGGUUUUGGAUGGACUCGCGGCCUAUCAGCUUGUUGGUGAGGUAAUGGCUCACCAAGGCGACGACGGGUAGCCGGCCUGAGAGGGUGACCGGCCACACUGGGACUGAGACACGGCCCAGACUCCUACGGGAGGCAGCAGUGGGGAAUAUUGCACAAUGGGCGAAAGCCUGAUGCAGCGACGCCGCGUGAGGGAUGACGGCCUUCGGGUUGUAAACCUCUUUCAGUAGGGAAGAAGCGAAAGUGACGGUACCUGCAGAAGAAACACCGGCUAACUACGUG